rnacentral:rRNA from 1 species
UACGGGGGGAGCAAGCGUUGUUCGGAUUUACUGGGGGUAAAGGGCGCGUAGGCGGUAGCACAAGUCAGUUGUGAAAUCUCCGGGCUUAACUCGGAAAGGUCAACUGAUACUGUGCGACUAGAGUGCAGAAGGGGCAACUGGAAUUCUCGGUGUAGCGGUGAAAUGCGCAGAUAUCAGGAAGAACACCCGUGGCGAAGGCGGCUCUCUGGGACGGUACUGACGCUGAGACGCGAAAGCGUGGGGAGCGAACAGG